rnacentral:tRNA from 1 species
GCACUUGUAACAUAGUGGAUAGAGCGUCUAUUUCCUAAGCAGAAAGUUGUAGGUUCCACCCCUACUUGGUGCG